ACCGGUGAUGAUGAUAAAUGUAGCUCUGA
rnacentral:sRNA from 1 species